AGAGAAAAAAAAAUACAAAGAGAUGGAAAUCAUGAGGGCAAAAUCAGAAACCUGAAGGCUGGACCCAGGAGACCUAAGAUGUCAGUAAUAGGAAUUCUGGGAGGAGGAGAAAAAUAAACACAUGAAGGAGAGGGAAUAAUUAGACAAAUGACAGAUGAUUACUUCCCCAAGUGAAAAAGACUCGGGUCUGAGUCUUUGGUUUAAAAAGAACUCAUGGGGUCACUAGGACUGAAAGCCACACACCUAAGCCCAUCCAGAUAAAAUUCUUGAACAGCAGGUGUAAAGAGAACCUCUUGCCCCCUUCACUACAAAGAGGAAAACAUUAAUUACAAAAGAAAAGAAAAGAAAAGAGGUGGGUGUCAUGUUUCUCACUUACCAUAAUGGGAACUUGAAGACAUCUACAAAACACUGGAGCAAGCCAAAAUACUUCUUGCUGGUCAGGGUAAAUAAAUAAAUAAAAAAAAAUAUCACCCAGAUAUCCAGGCAACGGUCUGGGAAAAAUACUCUAGAAAGAACCGUAAGCAAAUGAAAAAAUGAACUGAAGCAGAUCACUCAAGACAAGAGAAGGUGAAGAAGAGAGAAUCUGGUGGUGGGCAAUUGGGCCUCACAAUCUCUCUGUCUCCGUCUCUCUGUCUCUUUGUCUCUGUCUUUUCCUCUCUUUCUGAGGCAGUUGCAACAGAGGCCUCUGCUCAACCCAAGGGGAACUUUGGAGCUGGGAUUGUUCUGAGUUGGGACGGAUCUGGCUUCUUCACCCUAGUAGUUGCAUAGAGGGUGCCCCCGGGAAGGGAGCAGACCUGGGGUUUGGCAGCUUCUUUCAGCUUCAGGCAAUUCCUGGAGAGAGAGAGACUUAGCUGUGAGCUGUCGGCAGCCAACACUCCUUCAGCUGGGGGCUGGGAUGGGCGUAGCCCCCAGCAUCCCUCACAAGGCAUGCAUGGUACCAUUUAUGUAAAAUGGUAUGUAUCAAUGCAUACUUAUGCUGGGGAAUGUUUAAUCAUCAGCUCUUGGGGAGAUGGGGGCUGGUGUGUGUGUAGGGGUUUUCCGAUUUGUAGCCUCUGUUGAUUCUUAUGGUAUAAAUACUCCUAUCAUGGCUGAUCUCACACUACCAAUGUGAUGGGACUGCAGAGGGACCUGGGACCAGACCCAGCAGUUGCCCAGGAGGUUCAGGGAAGGGGAGGGGAGGACAGAAGGAGCAGCAGUCACAGCAUCUUAUACGGUGGGAGUGCUCUGAUACUGGGAGUUUUUCUCUGUUUGCUUCAUUUUUUCUUUUUGGUCACCUUUCUAACCCUUGUCCCUACAGUCCACUUCGGUAGGUUGGUAUUCUUUCCAGGCAGUAUUCUAGAAGAAAUCUCAAGCCCUGGUUCUCACCAAGGCCCACGUGACCAUCAAAACUCAAGGCUGCUUCUUGGUGGGCGGUGCUGGGGAUGGAGUUGAGAGGGUGUGGAGGGGUUGGCAGACCUCCUCUGAAAGGGGCCUGUGGUACAUAUUUUUGGCUUUGUGGGACCUAUGGUCUCUGUUGCAACAAUGAAUCCCCCGCAGGACAUAGUUUGCUGACUCUUGCUGUACAUGAUACCAUUGUGUCAUAAACCUCACUGAAGUGUUAAUUAUGGCUAUUUCAAAGGCCCCAGAGGAAAGAGCCCCUUCACUCUAAACCAACCAACGAGUUCAGACCAACCAACGAAGAGGAUGGAUUUAGGCCUUGGGGGAGGUUUUGUGGUUUAGCCGCCUUCUCCAGGAAUGUGUUUUAACUUCUUUUCUCCAGGGUUAAAUAAAAUGAGGAAAAGAGAAUGCCUGGGUUAAAAAACAAAAAAUAAACUGACAAACAAAAAAAUCCCAAACCCCUCAAAAACCAAAAACCCAAUUCUACUCACAAACUCUUUAUUUAUUAGGAUCCUGUUAAUUUUGGAUUUGGAAAAAUAGACCUGGGAAGGAGGCAGGUCCUCCCCACAGCACUAGCUCUGAAGGAAGGUACCGUAGACAGGUCAACAGAGUAAACCAAGCCCGGCAGCCAGAGCCUUCAUAGGGCUAAGACAUCUUCCUCAACUUUCUAGCAUUAUUUGAAUGUUAAUAUGAAAUCUAUGUCUAUUUAUAGAAGUGAAUCAUGUAGGACCAUUUUUGGGGCAACGCUUGAUGAAUACCUCUAGCAUGUUGGUGUAGAUACUAAGCUCCGGUUUUCCAAAUAUAUUUGGGGCAAGUCUCUUUUCCCCCGGCUUCAAGUUUUCUAUCUUUGAGUAUUUACAAUGUCUUGGACAGCCUUGUGAAUUUUUGUGACUGUAUUAAUGCGGAUUCUUAAAUUUCACCCAAACAAUUAAACCCCUCUACUCAAAAGAACUGCCUUUGACUCCUGACCAGUCCUUGCCUUGUAACUCCAUGAGGUGGACAGCAUGACAGGCCACAGGAUUCUUGUCCAUCAGAUUCCAGUAGCAUUUACUGCUUGUUCUGUUUAUCUGUUACUAAAGCUGAAUUCAGUAGUCUACUGAGUACUUACCAUGUAGAAGGCUUUGCUCUGAUCAGAAUCCCGUAUUGCUUCAUUCAUCAUUUUCAGAUUGUUCAUCUCUAUAUGUGUUGUACCCCUUACGGAAUGGGAUCACUUGUGAUACAUGCAUCCUCCAACCAUCCAGCACAUUGGAGUUGACAGCUAAAUGUCCAUGCUUAGGUCAACUCCCCCUGGCUACAGCUCUGGUAUAACAUAGUGAUUUACAGACCCACCAAACCAGAGGAUGCCGCUGGCAGAAAGAUGAGCCUGGUCUGGUGUUAAUGCAAGAAGAUCCCUGUGGUACAGACGCAAGAUGUUGGACCAUACGGAGAAUUUUCUACCUCUGCCUUCUUUCCUUCCUUGUUCCUUUCUUUUUACUUUUUUGUAAUUGUAAGGUGUCAGGAAUGGCUUGACUCAUUAGACGAUACAUAUUUUUCAGAAAGUCUCCAUUUUUUACAUUUCCCUCAGGUAAUAUAAAUUCCUGAAAGCAUUGAAAAAAUAAAGACAUUUUUUGAAAUCCAUUCAUAAGAUGCGCAAGAGGAAUUCAUCACAGAAACUUCAAUCAAUCUUAAAAAAAAACCAAAAAAACAGGCUUCAACAACUCCCUU